rfam:Oleiphilus sp. HI0009 HI0009_c34, whole genome shotgun sequence.
GCGCUAUUAGCUCAACGGAUAGAGUAGUGGUCUUCUACACCAUUUGUUGAAGGUUCGAAUCCUUCAUAGCGCG